rnacentral:tRNA from 1 species
GACAGUUUGGCCGAGUGGUCUAGGCGCUGGCUGCAGGCGUCAGUCCGCAAUGGCGUGGGUUCGAAUCCCACAGCUGUAA